rnacentral:tRNA from 1 species
CGGAUGUGGUUCAAUGGUAGAACUAAAGCCUUCCAAGCUUUCAACGCGGGUUCGAUUCCCGUCAUCCG